rnacentral:rRNA from 1 species
AUUGAACGCUGGCGGCAGGCCUAACACAUGCAAGUCGAACGAGUGGCGGACGGGUGAGUAAUGUCUGGGAAACUGCCUUAUGGAGGGGGAUAACCACUGGAAACGGGAUCUAAUCCCGCAUAACAUCAGAGACGACCAUAGGGGAUUAGCUUGGUGGUGGGGUAACGGCUCACCAAGGCGACUAUCCCUAGCUGGUCUGAGAGGAUGACCAGCCACACGGGAACUGAGACACGGUCCAGACUCCUACGGGAGGCAGCAGUGGGGAAUAUUGCACAAUGGGCGCAAGCCUGAUGCAGCCAUGCCGCGUGUAUGAAGAAGGCCUUAGGGUUGUAAAGUACUUUCAGCGGGGAGGCGUUACCCGCAGAAGAAGCACCGGCUAACUCCGUGCCAGCAGCCGCGGUAAUUC